CAUUUAUUCAAAUCUCAUUUUCUCAAAAUCUCCAAAUCAGAAAAUUUCAACUUAAUGAGUGAAGGAAGCAUUCAACUUUGAGUCUCGGUUAUUAUUGAGGCUUCAAGAGUUGUAGAAUUAUUGGACAUCAUUUGGUAGCUCGUUGACGCGCUCAAAGUUGCUUCCGGUUCUUUGGAAUCAAGUUAUACAGGAGUCAUUCCAGGUUCCAUUCCACCUGCCCCUCAGUAGAUCUUAGUCAUUUUGGUGAGCCCUUCUUCUUUCCAAGGGCUAAGUAAUUAUGUAAUGGAACCUUUGCU